GAGAGCAUCGAUCAACUCCUGUUGGAUGAGCACAUCCUUCACCCUUGCUUGCUAUAGGGAGAAAUUACUUUUCCCAUCAUACCGAUUGAUUUACACCUUGAUUGAGCCUAUCUUCUUUAUCUUCUUCAACCUCGAUCAAUACAGCCACAACCUGGACAACCACGUGCUUUGAUAGCACUUGUUGGGAACAAUCCUUCACGAGUGCAAAAUACGGAUCUCCCACUC
rnacentral:lncRNA from 1 species